rnacentral:rRNA from 1 species
UACGGAGGGUGCAAGCGUUAAUCGGAAUUACUGGGCGUAAAGCGUGCGCAGGCGGUUUGUUAAGUCCGCUGUGAAAUCCCCGAGCUCAACUUGGGAAUUGCAGUGGAUACUGGCAAGCUGGAGUAUGGUAGAGGAAGGUGGAAUUCCCGGUGUAGCAGUAAAAUGCGUAGAGAUCGGGAGGAACACCAGUGGCGAAGGCGGCCUUCUGGACCAAUACUGACGCUCAUGCACGAAAGCGUGGGGAGCAAACAGG